rnacentral:lncRNA from 10 species
CCCUGGGAAGGAUACCGAGGGCUGGGAGGGAGAAGAGCUGGUUCCUGGGGAGUUAAAGGGAAAGUCCAGCACCCCUUAGGCUCUGUCCUCUGGAAGAAGCUUUCUGCAGAAAUAAUCCAGCAGACACAAGACAACGGAGGACCACACUGGCCCGCCACGCCCCCAUCCUGUGCCUAUAAAAACCCGAGACCCUAGCGGGCAGACACACAAGCUGCUGGACGUCUUGACGUACACAUCCAUGGAAGAAGAUACAAGUGGCUGGACAGCGAGAGGACGUCGAGGGAGCACGCUCGCGGAAGGGCACACUGGCAUGCAGGCGGGUAGUCGACCAGUGGAACUAGGCUGAGUUUGGCCUGGGCAGUCAGAGGAGAGCUGGGGCCGCCUAGCGACCCAACUCCAGAGAAAGACCAUCUCCCUUCUCGCUCCCCCAUCUACUGAGGGCUACUUCCACUCAAUAAAACUUCAUACUCAUUCUCCAA